AACGAACGCUGGCGGCAUGCCUAACACAUGCAAGUCGAACGAGACCUUCGGGUCUAGUGGCGCACGGGUGCGUAACGCGUGGGAAUCUGCCCUUGGGUUCGGAAUAACUCGCCGAAAGGCGUGCUAAUACCGGAUGAUGUCGUAAGACCAAAGAUUUAUCGCCCAGGGAUGAGCCCGCGUAAGAUUAGGUAGUUGGUGAGGUAAAGGCUCACCAAGCCGACGAUCUUUAGCUGGUCUGAGAGGAUGAUCAGCAACAUUGGAACUGAGAAACGGUCCAA
rnacentral:rRNA from 1 species